UUUCCGUAGGUGAACCUGCGGAAGGAUCAUUAAAAAAUUUUCCCCGUCCUCUCGCGGAUGAGUCCUAUUCUAAACCGUGUCUACAUACCUUUGUAUCUUUUGCGUGACGCCGACUCGUUGUUUGAUUCGGCUGACAGUGCCCGACAGAGAACCCCAACUCUUCUGUUUAGUAUUGUCUGAGUAAUAUAUAAUAGAUAAAACUUUCAACAAUGGAUCUCUUGGUUCUG
rnacentral:misc_RNA from 1 species